CAGUAGCCACGGGAAUACGUAGGUGGCAAGCGUUGUCCGGAAUUAUUGGGCGUAAAGCGCGCGCAGGUGGUUUAAUAAGUCUGAUGUGAAAGCCCCCGGCUCAACCGGGGAGGGUCAUUGGAAACUGGGAAACUUGAGUGCAGAAGAGGAGAGUGGAAUUCCACGUGUAGCGGUGAAAUGCGUAGAGAUGUGGAGGAACACCAGUGGCGAAGGCGACUCUCUGGUCUGUAACUGACGCUGAGGAGCGAAAGCGUGGGGAGCGAACAGGAUUAGAUACCCCGGUAGUCCUGUCUCUUAUACA
rnacentral:rRNA from 1 species